rnacentral:rRNA from 1 species
UACGUAGGGUGCAAGCGUUAUCCGGAAUGACUGGGUGUAAAGGGUGAGUAGGCGGUUUCUUAAGUCAUGUGUGAAAGUCCUGUGCUCAACAUGGGAACUGCACAAGAAACUGGGGAACUUGAGUACGGGAGAGGUAAGUGGAAUUCCUAGUGUAGCGGUGAAAUGCGUAGAUAUUAGGAAGAACACCAGUGGCGAAGGCGACUUACUGGACCGAAACUGACGCUGAGACACGAAAGCGUGGGGAGCAAACAGG